AGGAUAGCAAGUUGGAGCUGUUGGGUUGAAAACAAAUAAAUGAACUCACAUUAGGCUGCAUUACUUCCUAGAGAAUUAAAACGAAAUGGUCAAUUAAACAUUGAGGUCAAGGAAAAAGGAUGAACAUUUCAAGGCUACAGGAGGAACAUUAAACGUCUCUCUCACUGUGAAAAGAUUCUAUCGAUCUACAACUGGUCAACAUGUUUUAUCUGAAGUUCAUCUGCCGUUUCUUCAAAUGGAGCCCUAGUCAGAAUAAGUUUGUCUACCAGCAGUUUGGUGCUACAAGUCAACGACACUCAGCAACAACAUGACUAAAUUAAAUAAAGCCGUGUCUAUUUCUACAUCAUUUUGUUCCUACUAACCUGGUGUUACUAACAACUAACUUGAAAUGGGAGAGGUGAGUUAUUAUCUAAAUCAUGCUUAACUCCUCAAAUUCUAUAGAAUUGCAGAGAACUGACAUAAAACAUAAAAUGUGUAUUCUAAUUGUAACUUUUCCUGAACUUUGCAUUUUUUCUCCUAGAUUUUCAUUUUUUCCUGAAGUCAUUUCAGUUCUCUAUUAUGUUGUGCAACAAGUUACAAGAACAAAUUCAAGCGAGAGAGGUCACUACACUAAGACUUUGUGUCUUCUCAUAAGAAUGGAUGGCUGCCUGGUCAUGUGGUAUGUGCGCUGGACUAACGAGAGAGGUCACUGCACUAAGACUUUGUCUUCUCAUAAGAAUGGAUGGCUGCCUGGUCAUGUGGUAUGUGCGCUGGACUGUUGUGGGGUCAUCUUGAUGCUCAUAUCUUGCCUAAUGCCAUUUAUUCUGCUGGACGUUUGGUCAAGGAAAUAGAUUCUCUUCAACUCUCAAGGAACAAUCAAAACAGGUCAAACAUUUGACAAGAAUAUCAAGCAAGUGCAGUGUACAUACCAACAUGAUGAAGAUGUAGACCAACAUGGUGAAGAUGAAGGCUGACAUGAUGAAGAUGUAGACCAACAUGAUGAAGAUGUAGAUCAACAUGAUGAAGAUGUAGACCAACAUGAUGAAGAUGUAGACCAACAUGAUGAAGAUGUAGACCAGCAUGAUGAAGAUGUAGACCAACAUGAUGAAGAUGUAGACCAACAUGAAGAUGAAAUGUAAACCAAACUAUUGAUCAAGAGAUGUAGGGAAUAAAAUGUGAACAUCUUGAGAAGUAAAACAAUUCCUAGAGGCCAAGACACAGACACAGUAGAUACAUUAGAGAUUGUUUCCUUGUGCUCUAAGGGAACCUGGGUCUGAAAGAAAUGAACAUUUCCCCAAUGCUACUUCAAAUCCAGACCUUCUCAAGACAAUCUUAGUGACCAAUACAGGACCCAGUAGGAAACAAUGAAGAAUCUUCCCAACCUCAGGUUGAGUACCCAUGCUCACCUACUAGAGUGGCAGCGCAUACUUCUACACCCACAGUUAGACAUCCUGAACCCUGUAACCCAACCUCACAACAUGGUUACAUUACCGGAAGUAGUUAAGAAGUCAGAAAACCUAACAGAUACAAUGAAUAGAACAAUCAUUUCUGAUACAGGUACAAGUACUCAAAUAAUGUACUUUGUAAGAAAUAAUUAGUUGGAAUUACCAUAAUUGAUUUCUAUCUUGUUCUAUAUUUAGGUAUAUCUUGACAAUCAGUCCAGUCAUUGUUCAUUUUGUUUUUAAUAUUCCUUUUGUUCCCUCAAUCUUCAUGUUCUUUCAGUUAAGGUUUUUAUCUCUUUUUGUUUUUUGGAGGAGGGAGGGGCUGUGGUAUAUUAUUAUUAUUAUUAUUGAAGUCACACUGUGGUAUAUUAUUAUUAUUAUUAUUGAAGUCACAACACCAAAGCCUUGCUACAUUAUGCUUUUAAUACCUUUUAUUAUCUCCCCUGCUUUUGUGUGCUAUCAUAUUAAUGUUCAUUAGUGUCACACUUUGUUCUAUGCUUUUUUAUAGUGUAAAUAGUGACUUGACAUUAUUUAGAUCUAUCAUAAUAUGUUAUAUUGUAUUAUUAUAUUUAAAAUAAAACUGUUAACAUUUUCUACGCUGCUAUAAAUAUGAAUGUUUUCCUGUGCUGCUAUGAAUGCAGUUUUGAGUUUUAGUCCAAAAUCAUAGAUGAGAAAUUGUUCCAUAAAGAGAGAGUCUAUUAAUAACUACUAUUUGGUAUUGUCAGUCAUCACUAAAGCAUUGAGUUCAUCCCCAUAGUCUAUUUAAAACUUUCAAAUACUAAUUCACUUUGUCUUAUCUGAUGGUGAUCAUAAGGUAUCCACUUUGUCAUCUCCAAAGUCUCUGGUGUGAACACUCACUGUCCUGUUGGAAUUUAGGGCUAGGAUGUAAUCUCUAUUUCUGAUGGAGCACAUGUAAAACCAACAAAACAAACAGUAGACCUAGACUUUAUUAACAGGUCAUGCAAACAUUUUUUAUAAUUGUGAACUGACGCUCCCAGAGCCAUUUUUAUGUAUUAUUAUUUUUGCUACUUUUGUAGACUAGUGCUAAGCUGUAUGCUUAUAAUUCCGCCUAUUAUUAUAUGGGUUAAGGCGAUGCUGUUUACUGUACUGUUGAUCAGUGGUGUGAGUGUCGGUUUUAAUUAUUCUGUACUUGGGACUGCCAGUAAGUUUCAGAAUUAUUUUUAUUUUUUUAAAUUUACUAUAUGUAAAUCUACUUUGUAUUUUAAUUAUAUAUGGUACAUUAUUUUUCAAAAUAAUUGGCAGUUUGUUUUUCAAAGUUUGUUUUAAAAAGCUGGCCACUUCUAAUGUAUAUGUACUAGAUCUUGUCCUUAUGUAUCUGUAUUUUUAUCUGCAGUGUUUUGUAACUGCUGCUUGAGUCAUUGAAAUUAAAGUAUCAUUUUUUUGUAUUUCUUCUC